rnacentral:lncRNA from 1 species
AUGGGAGGGGGAGAGGAUCCUUGGAUCAGCCGCGCUGCGAAGCGGGACUGGGCAGGAUUGUGCCAAGCGGGACUUUUCCUGCUGCCAGAGCUCCUCCGCAGCGUCACUCGCUGCCGGGAAGGGAGGGAGCGCGGUGUGUGUCUGCCGGGGGCACGGUGCGGAGCGGGAAGAGAUCCUCCGAGAACCCCCACUGAAGCAGAAGCAUCUAAAACAUAUCCAGAGAGGUCUGCAGAUCCGGUGGAGAUGGGAGCUCCUGUGCCUUUCCUCAAUGCUCUGCCUAAAACCUCCACUCUCUGGUGGCGAGGAGCCUCUCGGUUGGCCAAGGCCCCAUUCCAAGGAGGGAAGAUGCACCCUGCCCCUCUGCCAGCCCGGUCAGAUUUGGCUGCUGUGUCAGGAGUUCUGGUCAGGAGGAGGAGAACUCACCCAGCGAUGCCCGAUCCAGCUACAAUCCUAACUGAGCUGAUAGUCCUAUCAGAAGCACAGAUUUCAGCCUGA